UACGGGGGGGACGAGCGUUGUUCGGAUUUACUGGGCGUAAAGGGCGCGUAGGCGGACCUUCAAGUCGGAUGUGAAAACUAUUGGCUCAACUGAUAGCCUGCAUUCGAUACUGUUGGCCUUGAGUACGGGAGAGGAGAGUGGAAUUCCAGGUGUAGCGGUGAAAUGCGUAGAUAUCUGGAAGAACACCAGUAGCGAAGGCGGCUCUCUGGACCGAUACUGACGCUCAAGCGCGAAGGCAUGGGGAGCAAACAGG
rnacentral:rRNA from 1 species